UGAUAAAGUCCUUGUGAAGAUGUCCCCACA
rnacentral:piRNA from 1 species